rnacentral:rRNA from 1 species
GAAAACAAAUGAGGUCUCUGGGUCCACCUCCCACCCGUGUCUAUCGUACCUUGUUGCUUCGGCGGGCCCGCCGUUUCGACGGCCGCCGGGGAGGCCCUGCGCCCCCGGGCCCGCGCCCGCCGAAGACCCCAACAUGAACGCUGUUCUGAAAGUAUGCAGUCUGAGUUGAUUAUCGUAAUCAGUUAAAACUUUCAACAACGGAUCUCUUGGUUCCGGCAUCGAUGAAGAACGCAGCGAAAUGCGAUAAGUAAUGUGAAUUGCAGAAUUCAGUGAAUCAUCGAGUCUUUGAACGCACAUUGCGCCCCCUGGUAUUCCGGGGGGCAUGCCUGUCCGAGCGUCAUUGCUGCCCUCAAGCACGGCUUGUGUGUUGGGCCCCCGUCCCCCUCUCCCGGGGGACGGGCCCGAAAGGCAGCGGCGGCACCGCGUCCGGUCCUCGAGCGUAUGGGGCUUUGUCACCUGCUCUGUAGGCCCGGCCGGCGCCAGCCGACACCCAACUUUAUUUUUCUAAGGUUGACCUCGGAUCAGGUAGGGAUACCCGCUGAACUUAAGCAUAUCAAUAAGCGGAGGAA